CUACGGGACGCAGCAGUGAGGAAUAUUGCACAAUGGGGGGAACCCUGAUGCAGCAACGCCGCGUGGAGGAUGACGCAUUUCGGUGUGUAAACUCCUUUUAUAUGUCAAGAAAAUGACGGUAGCAUAUGAAUAAGCACCGGCUAACUCCGUGCCAGCAGCCGCGGUAAUACGGAGGGUGCAAGCGUUACUCGGAAUCACUGGGCGUAAAGGACGCGUAGGCGGGUUGGAAAGUCAGGUGUGAAAUCCUACAGCUUAACUGUAGAACUGCACUUGAAACUUCUAAUCUAGAGUAUGGGAGGGGGAGAUGGAAUUAGUGGUGUAGGGGUAAAAUCCGUAGAUAUCACUAGGAAUACCUAAAGCGAAGGCGAUCUCCUGGAACAUUACUGACGCUAAGGCGUGAAAGCGUGGGGAGCAAACAGGAUUAGAUACCCGCGUAGUC
rnacentral:rRNA from 1 species